rnacentral:tRNA from 1 species
CGUUCUCUUUUUUGGAGCCUUUCGC